AGUGAACGCUGGCGGUAGGCCUAACACAUGCAAGUCGAACGGCAGCACAGUAAGAGCUUGCUCUUACGGGUGGCGAGUGGCGGACGGGUGAGGAAUACAUCGGAAUCUACUUUUUCGUGGGGGAUAACGUAGGGAAACUUACGCUAAUACCGCAUACGACCUACGGGUGAAAGCAGGGGAUCUUCGGACCUUGCGCGAUUGAAUGAGCCGCUGUCGGAUUAGCUAGUUGGCGGGGUAAAGGCCCACCAAGGCGACGAUCCGUAGCUGGUCUGAGAGGAUGAUCAGCCACACUGGAACUGAGACACGGUCCAGACUCCUACGGGAGGCAGCAGUGGGGAAUAUUGGACAAUGGGCGCAGGCCUGAUCCAGCCAUACCGCGUGGGUGAAGAAGGCCUUCGGGUUGUAAAGCCCUUUUGUUGGGAAAGAAAAGCAGCAGGUUAAUACCCCGCUGUUCUGACGGUACCCAAAGAAUAAGCACCGGCUAACUUCGUG
rnacentral:rRNA from 1 species